AAUGAACGUUGGCGGCGUGGAUUAGGCAUGCAAGUCGCGCGAGAAAUUUCCUUCGGGAAAUGGACAGCGGCGGAAGGGAGAGGAAUAAGUAGAAAUCUGCCCUCGGGACGGGGAUAGCGGUGGGAAACUGCCGGUAAUACCCGAUAACAUCUUUGGAUCAAAUGGUGUGAUUCCGCCUGAGGAUGAGUCUACUUCCUAUUAGCUAGUUGGUGGGGUAAUGGCCUACCAAGGCAACGAUGGGUAGCGGGUGUGAGAGCACGACCCGCCUCACUGGGACUGAGACACUGCCCAGACACCUACGGGUGGCUGCAGUCGAGAAUCUUCGGCAAUGGGGGAAACCCGUGACCGAGCGACGCCGCGUGCGGGAUGAAGGCCCUUGGGUUGUAAACCGCUGUCGUAAGGGAACAAAUCCAUAGGGGUACUCCCCUAUGGUUGAGUGAUCUUAGGAGGAAGGACGGGCUAAGUUCGUGCCAGCAGCCGCGGUAAAGU
rnacentral:rRNA from 1 species